rnacentral:tRNA from 1 species
GAUCAAGUGGUCUAAGUGUGUUUUAUGAUGUCUGCUUUACACGCAGAAGAUGGGUGUUUCUCCGUGAUUA